UGAAGAUUUCAAUGAGCACCCACAGUCGAAAGGCCCUUCCAAGUCAUGGCUCCUAUAGUUUCAGCCGGAUCUGUUGGCAGCCGAUGCUGAUGAGUACAGCAUGACUAGAUCAUUCGAGGCAUACCUGCUGUGGUUGUUUGGGUACAUCAUGUUCAACAACUCACACGGCCACUGUGUGGAUAGGGUGCUUCUGCCCUACGCACAGAAGGUCGUCGAUGCAGAUGAGGAUGUCAUACCCUUAUAUAGUUGGGGUUCAGCGGUUCUUGCAUGCACAUAUCGUGGACUCUACAAGGCAUCACGGCAGAAUGAUAGAAAUGCUGUCCUAACGGGGUGCCCAAUUCUGCUACAGCUUUGGUCUUAUGAGAGGAUUGCUAUCGGUCGUCCCAUGAUUGACUAGUCACCGUACAAGCCGGAUAUGUACGGUGACACGGAGGACGACAGACCCACCAUGGGGACUUUCUGGUACUCUCGACAGAAAACAUGGGCACAUGUACAGACCCGGCGGUCUUAUCCUGAGUUUGUUG